GCGAGGGUGGCCGAGCCUGGCCAAAGGCGGCGGGCUUAAGACCCGCUCCCGUAGGGGUCCGCGCGUUCAAAUCGCGUCCCUCGCA
rnacentral:tRNA from 2 species